ensembl:lncRNA
CGAGGACUGACAUUGGGGCACACCAGGAACAGGAAGCAAGGAAGUAGGAAGCGCUCUGGUCCGCGAGCGGCUAGAGGCCCACGGAGGCCCACGGAGGCCCACGGAGGCCCACGGAGGCCCACGGAGGCCCACGGAGGCCCACGGAGGCCCACGGAGGCCCUAGAGACUGUCCAUCAUGGAUAUUUAACUGCAGUUCUGUGAGUAUCCCAACUUAACCAUGAAGAUGAACUGCAAACUGUAAGUCAUUAAUUUCUCAUUACUCUUGGGCACAUUGAUGUAUUUUGGGUUCCUGGUGAGUUAACCUGUUACCUGAAGGUUGAUCUGAGUAGCAAGGAUGUUUUAUUGGUUCAUGGGUUACUUAGGUGGUUUAUGUUGGUUUUAAUGAUUUGUUAAAAUGGUUGCAGGCUCCAAGUUAUUGUUGUAAGCUGGAGUAAUGGGUUGGGUUCUGAUAUCUUCAGUCUUCUUUCAUUCGACUCUCCUGAGCUCUGCAUCUUCAUCACAUGUGUGUUGCGUUACUGAUGAGGGUGUGGUCUGAGUGAGCAGAGGUGCAUACUGGGAUACAGAGCUGUCUGAAGUCUACAGGGAUUCAGAAGGAGAAACACCAUGGGGAGAUGAGGGGGCUCCUCAUCUCAACGACUGAAACACAAUUUCAGUCUGACACAGAGAACCAUGGAACACAUUCAACAGUCCCCUCCAGGCAUCGUGACUCCUCAGGAACAGUUUCAUUUCCAAGAAGGUCUUAUUUGGGGCCAUCCCAUAUGGAUCGUGCUCCUCAAGAGCCCCCCCCCUCCACUGGGUGGUCUUCUGAACAGAUGACCUCCUUCAUGUCCUCAGGCUGAUAAAGCUGCACCGUUUGCAUCUGUGAAGGCCCCUCAUUCAGGAAACCACUGGACUACAAAGACAUGACUUCAGAGACGUUGAAUCAACCUGGGACACAUUUUGGAGACGCCAAGCUUAAUCCAUCACCAAUGUGGGACGCCACUGAAGUGUUGUGU